rnacentral:lncRNA from 1 species
CAAUCCAUUCCACAAUUUCCAAAGCUUGCAAAAAAUGGUCAAUGACAACGUGAAUUAUAAAUAACGAACAUUCAGCUAGUGAAAACUAAAAGACGAGUCACACUUUUCUGUGACAAUAGAACACGUGUUAUUGCGUAUUACAGUACAUGUUCUACCCAGUGUAAGUUUGAAGAUGUUGAUUAUGAUGCAUAUCAAGUCCAUUGUUUAUAUAACAGGUACUCACGCACGUUGUUGCCUUGAUUAUGAGUAUUCGAACAGGUGCAAUGUACCGUACAACAAAGUAUUUGUUCAAGUACUGUGCAUCUUUCUUAAUUACCAAGUCUUCCUGGCCGCGUUAACUUUCCUUUGAGACUUUGUACUGUACGUGCGACUUCGUUGAGUAGCUUUUCGCUUUAAAAUGUUUUGGUGUCAGAGCCAGGUGAAAUGUCCCGUACAACAAAUAUCCAACAAGUCGUAUCUUCAAGUACUGUGCAUCUUUCUUAAUUUUCAAGUCUUCCACAUUGAAUUUUCAGAAUACAUAACGACGCAACUGUAGACGUUUUAACUUUGGUAACUGAAUUGAAUUGUUUCAUUUUGGAAUAUUCAUUGACAUAAGAUGAUACAUCAUUCAAUAUAAUUAUCCACCAAUGUUGUCAGCCAGCAAAUGAAAGGCAUAUUAUUGUAUACUUCUGAUAUCUGUAAAUAUUAAUGCAACGGUAUUAGUGGAUGCAAUUAUGUAUAAUGUAACAUGGAUUUCAUAAGCCAUACAGUCCGAGCUUUUCCCGCGACAUGACUAGAUGUUAAUAAGACGUAGCAACAUACCAAAAUUGUUCUAUUUUUAGUACUUUUGUUAAAUGAAGUUAUCGUUAAUGUGACCAUGUUAAUGUAUAAAGAUAUCUAAAAAAGAAAAAAAACAAUUAAACACAUAAAUACAGGAAAGAGAGAGGGGAAGCGAGAGAGGGGAAAGGAGAGAGGGGAAAAGAGAAAAAGAAAACUUACCUAAAUGUAGCCAACGUCCACACAAGGACUUAUUUUUAUAACAUUGCGAGUGGCACAGCGGCUUGUCUUAAUAAUAUUGGCAGUGGACUGCGGCUUGUCUUAAUAACACUGGGAGUGGCGCAAUGGCUUUCCUUAAUAACAUUCGCAGUGGCACAAUGCCUUGCUAUCUUUGCGAUACCUUAAUUGAACGGUAUAUAAUUAUUAUUCCUAUGUCCUAAAGGAAGCCCAUAUUGCUUUAUGAUCACUAAAGUAAGUUUCUAGGAUACCAGCUUCAAUUUCCUCUUCAAUUAAAUUUGUGUAUAAAUGAUCAAUUAACGUUCUGUUGUCGGUUGUAAAGCCUGUUAUCAGUUGCCUG